rnacentral:rRNA from 1 species
AGGCAGACCGCGAACACGUGUUUGGACGCCGACGGGAGGCCGCGGGGCGGUUGGGGCCUGCCCCUCCCGCGCCGUCSGCCCCCGCACCCCGCUCGGAGCGCCCCCGGGCGCGCCGCGCGGGACAACGAACCCCGGGCGCGGAACGCGCCAAGGAAAACCGAAACGGAGCGCCCCGUCCCCCCUCCCGCCCCGUCCGCGGUGCGUCGGGUGCGGGGGGCGCGGCNCCUCGCGUGCGAACGAAUGUCAAAACGACUCUCGGCAACGGAUAUCUCGGCUCUNCNUCGAUGAAGAACGCAGCGAAAUGCGAUACUUGGUGUGAAUUGCAGAAUCCCGUGAACCAUCGAGUCUUUGAACGCAAGUUGCGCCCGAAGCCAUCCGGCCGAGGGCACGUCUGCCUGGGCGUCACGCAUCGCGUCGCCCCCUCCCUCCGUGGCGGGGGCGGACAAUGGCCCCCCGUGCGCGCCCGCGCGCGGCCGGCCCAAAUGAGAUCCCCCGGCGACGCGCGUCGCGACCAGUGGUGGUUGAACGCUCAGCUCGCGCGCUGUCCGUCGCGCUACGCGUCGUCGUCCGGCCGGGCAUCGCCAACGACCCCGACCGCGCCCUCGGGCGCCUUCGACCGCGACCCCAGGUCAGGCGGGAUCACCCG